UGUGAUCAAUCUGGUUUACCAAGUCGUACUUUUCCAAAAACGUCUUCCACGCGGUCAAGUAUACUCUAUCAAGACAUAGGUUCUGUUACAUCAUUUUCCUCUGCUUUCAAGAACCAGCUCGGCCAGCGCGGGCAUCUCCAGGGCUUUUACAAACUUGUUCACUUCGCCGCAGUUAGGAACCGAUACUCACGAGGCUUGCAAGAGUGUAGUAUUUUCCGAGCUACUGUUACUACCAGCUUCCGGUGUCCUUCCUCUAUCCUGAAUCACUUAAAGCACAACAGGUGCUCUUCCCUCAGGGAGCCCGAGUCAACAAGGUCAGGGCUACUCUUGCUCCAGCUGUGGAGUCUUGGGCGUUUGUUCACCUUUGGACCCAGCCGAAGUGAAUUCCUGCCACCGAUGCCCUUCACGAAAUCCUUGUGAUGAAUGGGACGGGUGGGGGUCUUGCCUCAUUAGGCGGAAAAUAACUGGUUUUCUGGGAGAGCGUUGCUUGGCCCCCCAUACAUAUUCUUUCCUGCAUCCUUCCUUCUGAUUAAUAAAAAAAAGUCUCUGCUAAAAAUGAACCACGGCUCCGGUA
rnacentral:lncRNA from 1 species